AUACUUACCUGGCAGGGGAGACACCAUGAUCAGGAAGGUGGUUUGCUCAGGGCGGGGUUCACCUGUUGCACUUGGGGUGUGCUGACCCCUGUGAUUUCCCCAAAUGCAGGACACUCGCCUACUUAAUUUGUGGUAGUGGGGGACUGUGUUCUCAAUUUCCCCUG